rnacentral:sRNA from 1 species
AAUAUAUAUCAGUGGUGCAUUAUUCUAGUCAUACAAACUUUACGAGGGUGGGGCUAAAAAUCCACUAAAGAGCACAUCGUUGAAGUUUCUUAGUAUUGCGCGAAAUGCCAGUUUUGUGUGGUGCUAGGGAGUAAAGAAAUUAGGGUAUUAUAUAAUGGCAUAUAUAAAACCCCCUGGUUUCGCGGAGGCUUAAGUGAUUUACUUAAGUAUAACCUAUGGUGAGUGCCAAGACACAAAAUACAUAGUGUAGCUUGUCUUGAGUGAAUAUAUUGGGAUUAAUACAAAAGGAAUGAAUUUGUUUGGCCAAAUAAAUUUAUUUUAUAUUAUGAAAUUAUAUUUGCAAAAGAGACUAGUAAAGAGAAUUUGUAUGUUAAGGAAAACUUCUAGAAUGUUUGCUUUUAAAAGAAGCAAGGAAGCCAAAGGAUUAAGGUACAGAUUUAAGUGGUGAUCUGGUGUCUAUUGAAAUAUAUAGAUGUUCUUCUUAAACGGAAACGGCUCUAGCAGUAAUGCUAAGUGAGGGAUAGAGAAAUUCGACCAGACCUAAACUGUAAAAUUUACUUUGGUUUUUACCAUUAAAAACA